AUACGUAGGGGGCGAGCGUUGUCCGGAAUCAUUGGGCGUAAAGGGCGCGUAGGCGGAUAGUUAAGUCCGAUGUGAAAUACCAAGGCUCAACCUUGGGGCUGCAUCGGAAACUGGUUAUCUUGAGGACAGGAGAGGAAAGUGGAAUUCCUAGUGUAGCGGUGAAAUGCGUAGAUAUUAGGAGGAACACCAGUGGCGAAGGCGACUUUCUGGACUGUAACUGACGCUGAGGCGCGAAAGCGUGGGGAGCAAACAGGAUUAGAUACCCUGGUAGUCCACGCCGUAAACGAUGAGUGCUAGGUGUAGAGGGUAUCGACCCCUUCUGUGCCGCAGUUAACACAAUAAGCACUCCGCCUGGGGAGUACGGCCGCAAGGUUGAA
rnacentral:rRNA from 1 species